rnacentral:rRNA from 1 species
UACGGAGGGUGCAAGCGUUAUCCGGAUUCACUGGGUUUAAAGGGUGCGUAGGUGGAUUGGUAAGUCAGUGGUGAAAUCCCCGAGCUUAACUUGGGAACUGCCAUUGAUACUAUUAAUCUUGAAUACCGUGGAGGUCAGCGGAAUAUGUCAUGUAGCGGUGAAAUGCUUAGAUAUGACAUAGAACACCAAUUGCGAAGGCAGCUGGCUACACGAAUAUUGACACUGAGGCACGAAAGCGUGGGGAUCAAACAGG